UGCGGCUGGAUCCCCUCCUUUCUAGAGCAACACAAUCUGCCAAGUAUCCACAACCUAUCGGUUGUUUGUAGUAUCACUGCACAGACGGAGGGUCUGUAGCUCAGUCGGUUAGAGCACCGUCUUGAUAAGGCGGGGGUCGUUGGUUCGAUUCCAACCAGACCCACCAACGUUUGAAGGACGGGGGAUUAGCUCAGCUGGGAGAGCACCUGCUUUGCAAGCAGGGGGUCGUCGGUUCGAUCCCGUCAUCCUCCACCAAUCCUGCAGAGAUCAUAGGUAAGCAAGAUGCGAUGCGUUUGUGCUUACCUCUGGCCUCUGGACAGAGUGCAGUUUGAUCUUUAACAAAACGGAAGAAGGUUGUGUCUCUGGUGCCGACAACCAAUACCAGAGACACGGUUGUGAUUGCAUCGUGAUUCGUAUUACAGCUAGUACGGAUUCACGAACAUUGAGUUGCCUGUAGCCGGCUCUCGCAAGAGAGUCCAAGGUUAUAGGAUCAAGCGACUAAGUGCAUGUGGUGGAUGCCUUGGCGAUCACAGGCGAUGAAGGACGUGUAAGUCUGCGAAAAGCUACGGGGAGCUGACAAUAGAGCUUUGAUCCGUANAUGUCCGAAUGGGGAAACCCG
rnacentral:misc_RNA from 1 species